CCUAUCAUGCAAGUCGAGCGAACAGACGAGGAGCUUGCUCCUUUGACGUUAGCGGCGGACGGGUGAGUAACACGUAGGUAACCUACCUAUAAGACUGGGAUAACUUCGGGAAACCGGAGCUAAUACCGGAUAAUAUUUCGAACCGCAUGGUUCGAUAGUGAAAGAUGGCUUUGCUAUCACUUAUAGAUGGACCUGCGCCGUAUUAGCUAGUUGGUAAGGUAACGGCUUACCAAGGCAACGAUACGUAGCCGACCUGAGAGGGUGAUCGGCCACACUGGAACUGAGACACGGUCCAGACUCCUACGGGAGGCAGCAGUAGGGAAUCUUCCGCAAUGGGCGAAAGCCUGACGGAGCAACGCCGCGUGAGUGAUGAAGGUCUUCGGAUCGUAAAACUCUGUUAUUAGGGAAGAACAAACGUGUAAGUAACUGUGCACGUCUUGACGGUACCUAAUCAGAAAGCCACGGCUAACUACGUGCCAGCAGCCGCGGUAAUACGUAGGUGGCAAGCGUUAUCCGGAAUUAUUGGGCGUAAAGCGCGCGUAGGCGGUUUUUUAAGUCUGAUGUGAAAGCCCACGGCUCAACCGUGGAGGGUCAUUGGAAACUGGAAAACUUGAGUGCAGAAGAGGAAAGUGGAAUUCCAUGUGUAGCGGUGAAAUGCGCAGAGAUAUGGAGGAACACCAGUGGCGAAGGCGACUUUCUGGUCUGUAACUGACGCUGAUGUGCGAAAGCGUGGGGAUCAAACAGGAUUAGAUACCCUGGUAGUCCACGCCGUAAACGAUGAGUGCUAAGUGUUAGGGGGUUUCCGCCCCUUAGUGCUGCAGCUAACGCAU
rnacentral:rRNA from 1 species